AGUGAACGCUGGCGGUAGGCCUAACACAUGCAAGUCGAACGGCAGCACAGUAAGAGCUUGCUCUUACGGGUGGCGAGUGGCGGACGGGUGAGGAAUACAUCGGAAUCUACUUUUUCGUGGGGGAUAACGUAGGGAAACUUACGCUAAUACCGCAUACGACCUACGGGUGAAAGCAGGGGAUCUUCGGACCUUGCGCGAUUGAAUGAGCCGAUGUCGGAUUAGCUAGUUGGCGGGGUAAAGGCCCACCAAGGCGACGAUGCGUAGCUGGUCUGAGAGGAUGAUCGGCCACACUGGAACUGAGACACGGUCCAGACUCCUACGGGAGGGAGCAGUGGGGAAUAUUCCGCAAUGGGCGAAAACCUGACGGAGCAACGCCGCGUGGGUGAUGAAGGGCUUCGGAUCGUAAAACUCUGUUAUUAGGGAAGAAAAAAUGUGUAAGUAACUAUGCACGUCUUGACGGUACCUAAACAGAAAGCCACGGCUAACUACGUG
rnacentral:rRNA from 1 species